UCCUGUCUGAAUAUGGGGGGACCAUCCUCCAAGGCUAAAUACUCCUGACUGACCGAUAGUGAACCAGUACCGUGAGGGAAAGGCGAAAAGAACCCCGGCGAGGGGAGUGAAAAAGAACCUGAAACCGUGUACGUACAAGCAGUGGGAGCACAGGUUUACCUGUGUGACUGCGUACCUUUUGUAUAAUGGGUCAGCGACUUAUAUUCUGUAGCAAGGUUAACCGUAUAGGGGAGCCGKAGGGAAACCGAGUCUUAAYYGGGCGUUAAGUUGCAGGGUAUAGACCCGAAACCCGGUGAUCUAGCCAUGGGCAGGUUGAAGGUUGGGUAACACUAACUGGAGGACCGAACCGACUAAUGUUGAAAAAUUAGCGGAU
rnacentral:rRNA from 1 species